UGCAGUCGAGGGGCAGCACGUAAGUAGCAAUACUUUGGUGGCGACCGGCGCACGGGUGAGUAACACGUAUGCAACCUACCUGUAAGAGGGGAAUAACCCGGAGAAAUUCGGACUAAUACCGCAUAAUACUGUUGAACUGCAUGGUUCGAUAGUUAAACAUUUAUGGCUUACAGAUGGGCAUGCGUAUGAUUAGCUAGUUGGUGAGGUAACGGCUCACCAAGGCAACGAUCAUUAGGGGUUCUGAGAGGAAGAUCCCCCACACUGGUACUGAGACACGGACCAGACUCCUACGGGAGGCAGCAGUGAGGAAUAUUGGUCAAUGGGCGCGAGCCUGAACCAGCCAUCCCGCGUGCAGGAAGACGGCCCUAUGGGUUGUAAACUGCUUUUUCGCAUGAAGAACAUCCCUGACGUGUCGGGGACUGACGGUAAUGCGUGAAUAAGCACCGGCUAACUCCGUGCCAGCAGCCGCGGUAAUACGGAGGGUGCAAGCGUUAUCCGGAUUUAUUGGGUUUAAAGGGUGCGUAGGCGGCAUUUUAAGUCAGUGGUGAAAUCCUGCAGCUCAACUGUAGAACAGCCAUUGAAACUGAAGUACUUGAGUAAUCUUGAGGUAGGCGGAAUGUGUAGUGUAGCGGUGAAAUGCUUAGAUAUUACACAGAACACCGAUUGCGAAGGCAGCUUACUAAGGAUUUACUGACGCUGAUGCACGAAAGCGUGGGGAUCAAACAGGAUUAGAUACCCUGGUAGUCCA
rnacentral:rRNA from 1 species